rnacentral:tRNA from 2 species
GCGGAGAUGGCGGAAUGGCAGACGCGCUAGAUUCAGGUUCUAGUGGGAGUUUUUCCUGUGAGGGUUCAAGUCCCUUUCUCCGCA